UACGUAGGUGACAAGCGUUGUCCGGAUUUACUGGGCGUAAAGAGCGCGCAGGCGGUCGUUCAAGUCGCGUGUGAAAGCCCCCGGCUCAACUGGGGAGGGUCACGCGAUACUGAUCGACUCGAAGGCAGGAGAGGGUAGUGGAAUUCCCGGUGUAGUGGUGAAAUGCGUAGAUAUCGGGAGGAACACCAGUGGCGAAGGCGACUACCUGGCCUGUUCUUGACGCUGAGGCGCGAAAGCCAGGGGAGCAAACGGG
rnacentral:rRNA from 1 species